UUCACAUGCAUAAUAUAUGUAGAAGAAGUUCUCGAUCCCUACCAAUAGACCAAAUCGUAUACCAAGAGACCAAUGCAUUGGUCAUGUCUCCUGUUGGAUUUAUAUAUAUCAGGAAAAAUGACUUGAUGCAUUUAUUAAGGAUAUUCUUUGUAUAAAUAGAAAUUAUAAAAAUGGCUUGAUAUUCAACAAAUAAUUAUAAUUAAUGAGAACAAAUUAAUUUGCAAUUUGUGUAUCCGUCUUGCCUCCUGUUGGGUUUCUAAGAAAGCUAACAAUUUAAAGGCGAACUUAAAGUUGAACUCAGCCUCGCCGAACUCAACCUCGCCGCCAUCAAAUCUCAAUCUCGCAGCCACACCGCCAUUGCUUCUCCACUUUGCCGUUGUCGCCUCCAUCGCAUCUCAACCUCUCUACGUCAUAUCUCAACUUCACCUCCAUCGUAACCUCGUCGUUGUCAAUCUCCUAUUUUUUGACCUUCAUUGCCACCUUAAGUGAAAUUGCAGAUCUGGUGGUUUUUUGAGAUUGAAGUAUAUUGUCAAGUUGAAGGAGACAAAUGGUUCUGACAGUGCAGCCAUUUCUGCUUGCAUAGAGGUAUUGAUACUUUGAUUACGUCAUUAAUGCUAUAUAGAAUCUAUUCAGCAAUUAAAAUUUUCUUCACAACUAACUUGAUCUAUGUGCUAAUGUUUGAUCCAGAUUUCUAAGAAAGCUACUGUGGCGUGUAUUGUUUGUAACAAAACAAUUUUAGAAAUUCAAUUAAUUGUUUUACAUAAUUUUCAUGAAUACGUAGUUUUUAAAUUUUGUUGAAUUAAUGUUAUCUCAGUUUUCUUUAACUUGGUUAUUGUACAAUUUAACUUUGGUUUGUCGAAGAAUUUGCUUCAGACAAUCCGAUCCAUUGCUCGUGAUUUCAUGUUCACACUUUCAGAUUCCUAAUUCUCUCACCGUUUCAUUUGCAAUACUAAAAAGAAUCUCAGGUUUCUAACAAUUUCAUUCGUGCAUAGUGUUAAGGUAUUUUGUUCAUUCUGUUCUGUUUGAUUCUCUCUUUAUAUUAGGUCUGUUCAUGCAAUUUUGUGGUUGUUUUGCAUCCAUGCCAUCAUAAACCAGUGGUGGUUGUCAUGAUUCUUCAUGGUAGCAGAGUUCUUGGCAUGUGUUGCAUAGAGAGUAUUGAGGCAAGAGGCUGUAUGCAAACGAUUCCAAAUCCUUAAGCUUUGCAGCAAACUAAUUCACAUAACAGUGAAAUCAACAUAUAACGCUUGUUUUUUAUUUUUCGCACAACCUUUUAUUAACACAGUUAAUGUUCUAAAUGCCAACAUAACACUAAAGCUUUAUAGUUACUUUUACUGUCAUUAAACUGGCUUAAACUAAGACUCUCUUAUACUCUCUCCAGGACAGUCUCUUAUAAUGGAUUGGUCUACAUUAUGAAAAUUAAUAAUAAUAUUUUACUUAUCAUCAUGUGAUUCAUAAUGCCAUUCCUACAGGAGUCAAAAGGUUAAUUAAUUUAUGUUUCUAGAUUCAUGUCUUAGAUAGAUAUUUUAUAUUGGUCUUUGUAGACCUCAGAACAAUCUUAUACAAAUACAAUUCUUACUCUUAUAAUCAAGAUGGCUUGUUUUAUCUUUUUGAGGAUUUAAUUGUGUCAGUUAAAUAUGGAUUUUGAUUAUAUAGUAGUAAGAAGAGUACGCAUACACGGCAUCUCCACCUCAUCAUAUGAACUUUUAGCUUGUAGGUGAAUGCCUCCUUAUCCUGGUGGUCUCGGUCAUGGUGGUCUCGGUCAUUGACCCCAUAUGGCAAUAUCUUCAUUUGAUGUUGCUGUCUCUCCAUUCUCUCAAUUUUUGAUUUUGACUUAUUAUUAUUUGAACGGCUAAUAGACUAAACUGAAAUCUUGCAUGUGGCUUAGCUUCUUUGGAUAUCCACUAAUUUAACAGCCCUCGUGUACUGAAGUUGAUGUAUAUCACACUCUGCAACAACUCUUUUUUUUCCUAGUACGCUGUGCACUUCCGUUUGUGCGUUUCCUAUAACAUGAGGAUUCAUUUGCAGCUCUGUCGUUGCCCAAUCAAGGGUACGUAUCAGUUCCAGCAGCAAACAUAUCCUGCAAAAAUGAAACAAGGUAUUGUUAACCUGCCAUUUUUCAAUUAGGCAAAAGUGAAUUGAAGUAAAUAAUUAAUUUGGUCGUACAUGUAUGAGAUGGUGUCAUUAUAGUCUCUGAAUGUAUUGAAACUUAAAAACAUCAUGAGUGUGAUAACCAAAUUAGUCUAUUAGUUAUUUCAUGUGCCAAAUUGACAAAUGAAUGACACGGUUGAUAACCAAAUUGACUAAAAAAAACACGAGGACCAAUUUAACUAGCAAAAAUUACAUUAUGUGCGUUUUUUUUGUUUCAUGCAUCCGAAGACUAUAGUGACAUCGACUGACACAUUCAAAGACCCAAAUGGCUAUUUACUCAAUACCUAAUAGACUAAUACCUUCUCCACUUUCAACAUAUUAGAGAUAAACCAAAACCAAACACAUGGUUAUUAAGGCUUCACUUACCAAGAUUAUUGCCCGAGCGAUUCAUCUGCAUCUCAAGUAAAAUAUCUACAAGGUCCUUAUGUUCCCUUACUUUAUUGCAAGCCUUGUGUCCAAAAAGUUUCUUAGAGUCUUGCUUUCAUGCUUGUCAAGUUGUGUAUACACUCCAAAGAAGGAAAGAAGUCACCAACACUGAAUCCUCCAUGUAGUUCCUGGUACUCAUCAAACAUCUUUUGGAACCCAUAUUUUUUAUGCUCUCCUCCUUCAGAAAAGUCCCUUCCAAAUGCUACACGGAAAACAAUAUUCCCAACUCAUAAUAUGGUAGUUCCUGGAUAAGACCCUGCAACUCUAUGAACAAGAGAAGCACCUUCUUCUCUAAAAUAUGAUUUCUUUUGGGGUUGAUCUAUGCUCUUUUUUACCAGAACUAAUUUGUAGAAAUUUAUCACUGAUAUUGGGUAAUGCUUAUUUAUAGAAAUUUAUCACUAAUAUUGGGUAAUGCUUAUUUAUAUAAAUUUAUCAAGGAUAUUGGGUAAUGCAGCUGUACCUAGUUUACUUAUAUGCAUUAUAUCUUGUGUGACCAAUUCACAGUGUGAACUUAAAUGGCUGAAGGUGUUCUUCUCAAUACUUGAAUUAUGAUUAUCUUUUAUCAUCAUAAUUAGUUGUACCAAUAGUUAGCAAACUAAUAGUUAACAUCAAAAAAUUUACAUCUUAUAAGUCAAGUUGGAACUGUGCUGCUUAUCUUUUAUUUUGCUUCUACUAAGUUACGUCAUACUCACUGCAGAGUUGAAACGAGAAAUAGAUAUGGACAUAAAAAGUUGGUUUAAUCAGUCCACCUUGAAAAUGAAGUUAGAUUUUAAUAUUGAAUUUGGCUUGACAUUGAUAAUUUUUUUGACUUGUUUGAAUAUAAGGUAAGGAGGUAACUUUAGAUUAUAUUAGUUUCUUUGCAUGUGAGAACUAAAAUUAUUUUUUACAAGUAAUAUGAGAGGAGAAGAAUUGUUUAUGUUCACUCUUCUUCAAAUAAUUUGUUUCUACCUGAACUGCUACAUUGAUUAAUAAAAAUUCCCCUUCCACAAUUUAAAAAAAAAAAAAAAACAGAAAAAAACUUAUGGUUCUGUCAUUGACAUUUACACUGAUUUUCUAUAUGAAUAUGUCCACUGAUUUUCUUCUUAUUUUGCAGAUCUGCUGUAUUAGAGCUAAAUUAAGAGAAUAGCAAUUGUUUUGUGUUGCUUGUCAUGUUAUAAUAAGCUUGUCGAUAAUGGUUGUAGUCUUCCUAUUAUUUAUUUUAACCAAAGUUCACCAGUUACCAGUU